GACGAACGCUGGCGGCGUGCUUAACACAUGCAAGUCGAACGGAAAGGCCCUGCUUUUGUGGGGUGCUCGAGUGGCGAACGGGUGAGUAACACGUGAGUAACCUGCCCUUGACUUUGGGAUAACUUCAGGAAACUGGGGCUAAUACCGGAUAGGAGCUCCUGCUGCAUGGUGGGGGUUGGAAAGUUUCGGCGGUUGGGGAUGGACUCGCGGCUUAUCAGCUUGUUGGUGGGGUAGUGGCUUACCAAGGCUUUGACGGGUAGCCGGCAUGAGAGGGUGACCGGCCACAUUGGGCCUGAGAUACGGCCCAGACUCCUACGGGAGGCAGCAGUGGGGAAUAUUGCACAAUGGGCGGACGCCUGAUGCAGCAACGCCGCGUGCGGGAUGACGGCCUUCGGGUUGUAAACCGCUUUCGCCUGUGACGAAGCCUGAGUGACGGUAAUGGGUAAAGAAGCACCGGCUAACUACGUG
rnacentral:rRNA from 1 species